GCAGAGUGUGGACGGUUAUACUUUAUAAUCUUCACGAAGAUUGAAGAAGAAGUUUCCCAGAUCUAGCACCGGCGAUCUCUUCUAAUUGUUCAUAUAAUUCCUCUUGCAGCAGAAAAGUCGGAUCAGUUUCGCUCCAGUUUCUUAGGAUUCACAGAUCACACGGAUUCGUUUCCUACUUCUCAAAGGGCUUGGGAAUCUCUUAAGGCCGGCAACAUGUUCUGAUGAAAGGAUAAUGAAUUCUAAAGCACGCAAGUAGUACGCAAGAAGGAAAAACGGAUUGUGUUGUCUGAAAGUUACGUGGCCAAUCUUUCUCUUUAUCCGGGGAGAUCAAAGCUACCUUUCAGCCUGCAGGUGGUGAUUUUGUAGCGUGGUGAUAAAGGAUAAAAGAAUUCACAGUUAUUGGCGGUAACACGAUAAGCGGGUUCAGGUUUUCAGGACAAGUUUCACUUCUUUAUAUUGUUUGUAGCUUAAAAAGUAAUAGGACCACGUAAAAGAGUUAGUUUGGCUUAUCAUGUUUAGGCUAGAUGCGACAUCGGGAAGAUGUUUUAUUGGUUCAUCUGAUAUUUCCAAAUAAACAGAUCACAGUUGUAAGGAGAAAAUUCGUGACAAGCAUCGGUCAAGUCAAAGAACUUUAUCAAUGUGUGAUCAUUUGUUUACACUAAGGGGGAAUGUAAAAAUAGCUUCAAGAACACUUA